AUGUUCGGAUACAGAGGUGGAGGGGGAGGGGGAGACGACGAGACCGAGGAAAUUGCGGCCUCGGUGACCAUCCGCCAGACCCCGGCAUUCUCCGCAUCUCCCAGCGAGAACGUGUUCCUGGAAUGUACGGUAGAGGGCGGUAGCAGCGGCGGUGAUCACCUGUUCUGGUACAGGCAAUACCAGGGAAAGGCGCUUCAGAACUUGUUUUCCUCAUCUAUAGCCAACAGCGUGCAGCCAAAGGAAUCGGUGGACGGUUUUACCGCCCAGAGACCGAGUAGCAACCACUUCAAUCUGAGGUCUUCCGGCCUGGCGGCGAAUUCGUCGGCAGUGUAUUUCUGUGCCUGGAGGCUUCACGGCGGCUCAGACAGAAGGAGGAGCCGAACAAAAACCUCAUAG